UAUAUAUAUAUAUAUAUAUAUAUAUAUAUAUAUAUAUUGGACACACUUUUCAGCAAAACAAUUCUCUUGUAUCAAAAAUUCUCUAGAAGUUUCUUAAACAAACACUGAGACGCACUGUUGUGUUUUUUGACAUCCUCUUUUUAAAUAAAACAAAAGAAAGUUGUAAAACUAAUCAGACACGUUAAUACACUGAAAACUUACACACAUCCAUUUAGUGGUCUACUUUACUUCCACUGCAAAGAUGAACUCUGUCUUGUUUUUGUUUGUUUGUUUUUCUGAACUGUCCAGACAUGUUCACUUGAAGGACCAGACCAAAGUGCUUCUACAAUUCCUAAGCAAAACUAUUAAGUCCCAAAGUACUAUACAAGAUGCUGCACUUAACAUAGAUAGUACUGUGUUCACAUGAGUCAGUACGAUAACUAAAAACAUAUAUCUUGUCUGGACAUUUUCUUGUCUGGAGUCAAAUCCCAAAUGGCUAAUUAUUGAACACAAUAGUGCAGGACGUAUAGGGGCUGAGAGUCAUUCUGAACUCAUGUAGGACACAUGUAUAGGGAAUAGGGAGCCAUUUGGGAUUCGCCCGAGUCAAAAGUCAGACAAACGGAAUAAAGUGGAAAGAGAGAGAAAGUUAUUGAAGGUUUCUGCAGCAUGAAGCUACAGAUGUUCUUCUCAAGUGAACUUCUUGGACUAAUUCACACACAGUGAAGAUUUAUCACCUGCUAAGAAGUACUCACCCCGGCUGAAUGCUCCAGGCUUUACCUCGGCUGAGCAGAGCUGUGGAGAGGAUUCGCCGUGUGGGAGCUCAACUCAGCAGUAUGGCCCAAAAUGGCAGCACCGAGACGGAGAACCGGCCA
ensembl:lncRNA